AUCGAACGCUGGCGGCAGGCCUAACACAUGCAAGUCGAACGAGUGGCGGACGGGCGAGUAAUGUCUGGGAAACUGCCUGAUGGAGGGGGAUAACUACUGGAAACAGUAGCAAAUACCGCAUACCAUCGGAUGUGCCCAGAGGGGAUUAGCUAGUAGGUGGGGUAAAGGCUCACCUAGGCGACGAUCCCUCGCUGGUCUGCGAGGGUGACCAGCCACACUGGGACUGAGACACGGUCCAGACUCCUACGGGAGGCAGCAGUGGGGAAUAUUGCGCAAUGGGCGCAAGCCUGAUGCAGCCAUGCCGCGUGUAUGAAGAAGGCCUUCGGGUUGUAAAGUACUUUCAGCGGGGAGGCGUUACCCGCAGAGGAAGCACCGGCUAACUCCGUGCCAGCAGCCGCGGUAAUAC
rnacentral:rRNA from 1 species